CGCCAAGGCCAAGCACCUACGCGUGCUGCUGCCAUUUACCUGCGACGCUCUGCGCAUCCCCGACGAGGUCGCCGUGGAAAUCGGCGCGGAGGAGGCCCUAAUCGUCGGCCCAGCCAGCGGCAAGGUCAUCUGGCCCGUCGAGGUCGGGCAGGACGGCGACGGCGCGUUCCUGGGCCGCGGGUGGCCGGAGUUCGCGGGCUCCUCGUCCUCCGCCACCGCGGCCGCGGCGUCCUCUCCGCCAAGGCGUUCGACGCCACCUUCUGCCUAAGGGAGCUCGGCGGCGCACCAGCUCCCCCUGCAGUUGAAGCUACCGCGAGCAGCAAAGAUUCCAUCCAUAAGCCAAAGUUCAUCAGAGUGCUUCCACGAGAUUUCAUGGAAAAGAUGCUAAUACCUGCUAAGUUCGUGCAACAGUACAUCGCCAAAGAGCUCCUAGACAAUCGUAUGGCCAUCAUUUUGGGCCCUAUUGGCAAAGUUUAUAACAUUAAGCUCGAAGUGGGGCAUUCGGGCGUGUUCUUCGCAGGUGGUUGGUCACAGUUUCUCAGGGUUCAUGACAUUACUGAAGCUAAUUCUCUGCUGUUAAGGUACGAGGGAAACAUGGUUUUUACAGUCAAAGUUUUUGAGCCCGAUGGAUACCAGAGAGAAGCCAAGCACAAGAAAAACAGAGUUCUACAAAUAUCAACAUUGCCACAUAUUCAAGAGCAGAAGGAAACACCAUCUGCUUCCGUUCAGAAGCAGUUGAAGAACAAUUUACCAACUGUUAUUGGAGAAAAGAAACCACAAGACUCCAAAACUUCUCUGGACCUGGCAUCAUUAAAGUAGACCUCUGUCUAUGAGAUCGGGCCACCAUCCUGGAUAGAGAAGCAGAUCAAUGCCAACACACUCAAACGUCGUCUUGUUUUGCCAAAUGCUUUCUGUGAUGCUAUUGGGUUGCGGGAACAUUGCACGAUCACACUCAAGACCUCAAGCAAUGGUAGCGGAUCUUGGCAGGUACAUGGUUACCCAUCCAGGGAUAGCGG